rnacentral:rRNA from 1 species
UACGGGGGGGGCAAGCGUUGUUCGGAAUUACUGGGCGUAAAGGGCUCGUAGGCCGCCAACUAAGUCAGACGUGAAAUCCCUCGGCUUAACCGGGGAACUGCGUCUGAUACUGGAUGGCUAGAGUUUGGGAGAGGGAUGCGGAAUUCCAGGUGUAGCGGUGAAAUGCGUAGAUAUCUGGAGGAACACCGGUGGCGAAGGCAGCUCGCUAGGACGGAACUGACGCUGAGGCGCGAAAGCGUGGGGAGCAAACAGG